GGCCCGUUCGUCUAACGGAUAGGACGCCACCCUCUCAAGGUGGAAAUAGGGGUUCNAUUCCCCUACGGGCUG
rnacentral:tRNA from 1 species